UACGUAGGGUGCAAGCAUUAAUCGGAAUUAUUGGGCGUAUAGGGCGCGUAGGCGGAUCAUCAAGUCGGAUGUGAAAUCCCAGAGCUCAACUCUGGAACAGCAACCGAAACUGGUAGAUCUAGAGGGUAGAAGGAGAAAACGGAAUUCCACAAGUAGCGGUGAAAUGCGUAGAUAUGUGGAAGAACACCCGUGGCGAAGGCGGUUUUCUAUUUUACACCUGACGCUGAGGCGCGAAAGCAAGGGGAUCAAA
rnacentral:rRNA from 1 species